rnacentral:lncRNA from 1 species
GACCCGGCCCGCGCUCUGCGGCCGGGGCGUAGCUCUAGCUCAUCCCCCACCAGUUCAGCCACGGUAGGAUGAGGAGGAUGAGGGUUUGCGGGAGGAAAAGCUUUGGAGAGAUGGGGUGCGGGACUAUGGAACCCGCUUGAGUCCAGUAGGCCAGCGCGGGUCAUUUCCAUAAGAAAGCCGCAACCCAGCUGGAGGCUGCGGUUCUUCAUGGCCUCCCUGCCCCCACCAUCAUUGGCAGCGUGUCGCGGGCUUCUCUGCAGCCUAGAUCUAGGCGACUGGUGUGGAUUGGUGUUGAUGAGAUGUGGCUUCCAGCGUUGCCCGACUCAGACCUGUUUCCAGUCUGGAUGGAGCGGACCGACUGUGUGGGUAAAGUUUGUUGCUUCUUGUACCUAAUGGUACCUUGAUUCCUGAUUCUGUCGAGUUAUGGAGAGCAUAAUUGAAGAUGGCUGGUUACAACCGACUUGGUUUGGAUGUGGAAUUGGGGCAAGCACUCUCUCCCAGUACUCUAGUAAUGCUGAAAACCCAAAUCUAUUUAAAAGGACAAGUUGUUUUAACUUCUACCACAGAUGGGGUGAGAGGAACAAGUGAAACUCAACAGCUAAGGAGAAAAUGAAGAACUAGUGCUACGUUUUCCACGUUCUUUUUGCUCCGGGGUUGACAUGGCAUUUGGCCUUUCUACCUGGAGAAAAUCAAGAGUAUGUAACUUUCCCUGCAGAUGGUCUGUCUGUAAGGUAAGGCAUUCACAUUGGGAUCUCGCAAGUCUCCAUGUAUAUUUACGUAUUUUUAUCCCCAGUCACCUGUCUUGGUUUUCUGGCAAGGGUCUGCAAAGGGAGGGAGACACAAGUGAAGUGGAGAUUUCCCUCUCUGGGGGCUUUUGUUUCCCUCUGAUGCCCCAGCUCACACUGCACAACAAAGGGAAGAGGCGAGUGAUCUCUCUUUUGGUCUCCUGGUCCCUCAUUUCCACCUCUCCUCUGUGGGCUUCCUCUUUGAGACCCGGAGGAAAGCCUGGGGAGGAGAUGGGGGGGGGGGUCAAGUUCACAACACUAGACUACUGCUGACCUUGCCAGACCCUUCUCCUUGAGAAGCAGAGAGCCCAUUUUAGAUGCUAGCCACUCUGUGCCUUUGGGUACUUUGGCCACUUCCAAAGACUGCAUAGUUGAGGCUGAUAGCUUCACACACCUCUCUGGUUAAAAAGCAUUGAGGACAAGGUCUGGUGAUUCCUGGAAGCGGUCCUCAAAGGGCCCAACCCCCACCCCAGCACUGGAGAGCCAUACACCUCAAGCAUGCCUUGCAAGGCCCUAUAUUCUCAUCACCGCAGAAACCAAAAACUCACAGAAACACACAGGACAGCUAUUAAAUAACUCUUGGAAGAGGUUAGAGGUCUUUACCUUGGGGCUGAGACAUUUUAAAGCCCUUUUGGGUAGAUCCUCAGGGGAUACGACAUAGAAAUUAAACUUGCUGGCUCAGUUUUAAAAUCCAAAAUCUCUCUCCUCUUAAAGCUGUUCAUUGAAAACGGUUUUUAGAUACCAUGUUGUUUGCUGAUGGUUCCUCUCACCAUUCUUAGGCUGGAGAGUCUCAAGGCCGUGCCACUAAGACUUCGGAGCUAGUUUUGGGGAGCCAUCCACUUUAUGAUUAGAUCUGUUGACUUUGUCUUUAACUCUGCGGGUGGGUUUUCAGACUUGAAAAAUGUAAAUGACAAGUUAACUCCUUCCCUGCCAGCACAUUACAGGAGUCUUUUCUUAGGGGAUGCCAGCUUGGCUUGUACUCAUCAAAGUGGGCACUGUGUCUGACCUGGGCAGAAAGAGGAGAUUUGACACUUUUCAUUUCAGAGCUGACACAGGAACCUUUGGGAGCCAGUAUCUAUUUUGUUUCCGACUGCAAAGUUCCAGCCAAUGAUUUGGAGGGGGGCCGGCACCUUCUGCUGGGAGCUAGUCUGGGAGGGAACAACUCAUUCCUGAGUUCUCUUUCGCAAACAUAUCUCUUGUCUAUUAAAAUAAUAGUAAUAAAAAUAAGAAUAAUAAU